rnacentral:lncRNA from 10 species
UCAGAUAAUUGAUGACCCUAUGCAACUGUUAAAAAAAUGUGGGCAUCCCUUUGGACUAGUCUGGAUUCCUGAUGCUGAGGAAAUCGACCACACGAACAGCUUCUGGAAUUUAACCAGAUCCACAAGGGUGAAGAGAGGGCAAGAGAUCAUCUUAGAGAAAUUUUAAACUAUUCUAUUGUCUUUUGUUCUGCUUCAUGAGAAAGACUAGAUUGUGAAAUUCAUCCCAUUUCUAAUUCCCACCCAGGGAAUAAAAGAGAGAAUAUUCAUUUCCUUUUAAUAUCAGCUUAAGCAAAGAAAAUGCAGUUACACCAAGGAAAGAUGAUGGGAGAGUCACAGAUGAUUCAUAAUUGACUCCAAAUUUCAUUCCUGAACAUAUCUGCUCUCAUUAAUAGUUAAGACAGAAAAACAAAUAAAAUAUAAGAAGCUCCAAUCGAGUAGAGCCUCCUUGAUUCUUGCUAUCUGCAGUGCACUGCAUGUGACACUGGCCAUUUAAAUCAUUAUAGUCCUCACAUGCCAUUUUUCAAACAGAAGACCUAGCUUCUUAUCAUUGUUUUAAGUCAGUUAUGACCCAAGCUUUCCCCAUAUACAAUUAGCAGCUUGAAAGGUGGUACCAAAUCUUAUAUAUCUUUAUAUUUCUAGUGUGUGGUAUUAGUGCCUUGAACAUGGUAGGUGCUCAGUAAACGUGGUUAAAUUGAAUAAACGUAGUGAAAAUGUGGGUAGGGGGAUCCCAAUGGAGCUAAUACCUACUGAGCCCCUGAUACUUUUUCCAAACUAUCUCAUUUAUUAAUUACAAGAACUCUAUGCAAUAAGUCUUAUCACCUCCAUUUUACAGGUGAGGAAACAGGACCAGAGAGAUGAGUACAAUCAGCCCAACUAGUUAGUAGCAAGGCUGGUAUUGAAAGUGGAUGGGUUUGACUGACAAAAUCAAUUGACCUCCCCAACUGCAAGACGAUCUGAACAGAAACAGUAGGUUAUCUUGUCCCCAGCAUCCUUACUCUUCCACAACCUCCUUCAACCAGGCUUUAACCUUCUUCCUUCCUGAGUAUUUACUGGGAUGUUAAUACCAGAACACUAAGGUAUUUACAUAAUGUAAUUUACCAUCUAAAGUGGAAGGCAUUCAGAGAGAGAAUAUGAAUAAAAUAAGAACUAAAAUAUACAGGGAUUUAGGCAAAUUUAUAUUAAUACUAAUUGGGAAUAUUGGAGACUAACACAAUAAAGAAAAUAUGUAAAAUUUGGUUGGACUGUAUAAAAAUAGUACUAAUUACAGUUAUUUACAUAAAUUGCUCAACAUUCAGCCUAAUUACUGUGAAUUACAAUAAUUCUUAGGUAAAUGUUUAAAUGUGGCUUUGAUUAACCUGUGUAGAUUGUGCAUCUCAGAGCAAGCUUGGCCCAAGACUACUCAGUCUCUGGAUGUGUUGCCCGUGGAGCUUGGACGAGAAGGCACAGAAGCAGGAAUCUUGCUCAGAAGACACCAACAACUUCCAAAUUUAAGUAGUACACAUCCAGCUACCCAGAGAGAAAUUGACCUGUCCUCUCGUUUCUAAUUCCAAAUUCCUGGAGAUACCACUCUAAAGAGCUCAGCUUGUUCAAUCCCCCAGUGAACAGGUAAUUUUUCAACCCUCGUCUCCCUCUUACCUUUUCACUUUUUGGAGUCUCUAGUGUCUAUUGUAUGUCCGUGUGUUCCCAUCGUUUAGCUCCCACUUAUAAGUGAAAACAUGCUGUAUUUGACUUUCUAUGUCUGCAUUAUUUCAGUUAGGAUAAUGGCCUCCAGUUCCAACCACACUGCUGCAAAGGAUGUGAUUUCAUUCUUCUUUAUGG